AAAUUUGAGGGUUUGAUCCUGGCCCAGGGUAAAUGCUGGCGGCGUGCAUUAGGCAUGCAAGUAAAACGGUCCCUCACCAUUUCGCAAGAAAUUGUGAGGGAAAGUUGCGAACGGCUGAGUACAAAGUAGGAAUCUACCUUUUAGUGGGGAAUAGCUCCCGGAAACGGGAAUUAAUACCGCAUGUGGUCUAUGGACCAAAGGGCGUAACUGCUCGCUAGAAGAUGAGCCUACUUCCCAUCAGCUUGUUGGUAGGGUAAUGGCCUACCAAGGCUUCGACGGGUAGGGGACGUGAGAGCGUGUACCCCCAGAGUGGCACUGAGAUACGGGCCACACUCCUACGGGAGGCAGCAACCGGGAAUCGUGCGCAAUGGACGAAAGUCUGACGCCGCGACGCCGCGUGAAGGAUGAAGGCCUUAGGGUUGUAAACUUCUUUUGCUCCGAUGGAGACAUCGGAGAGAAUAAGCACCCGCUAACUACGUGCCAGCAGCUGCGGUGAUACGUAGGGUGCAAGCAUUGCCCGGAUUUAUUGGGCGUAAAGAGUCCGUAGGCGACUUGGCAAGUUGUUCUUUAAAUACUCCGGCUUAACCGGAGGAAGGGGAACAAUACUGCCAGGAUAGAGAGUUUUUGGGGCUACCGGAACUGUCGGUGUAGGGGUGAAAUCCGUUGAUAUCGAUAGGAACUCCGAGGGCGAAGGCAGGUAGCUAAGAAUACUCUGACGCUCAGGGACGAAAGCUAGGGUAGCGAAAGGGAUUAGAGACCCCUGUAGUCCUAGCCGUAAACGAUGCUCGCCAGCUCUGUUCUCUUUUGAAAGAGGAUGGGGCGUAAGCUAACGCGUGAAGCGAGCCGCCUGGGGAGUACGGCCGCAAGGCUAAAACUCAAAGGAAUUGACGGGGAUCUGCACAACCAGUGGAGCAUGUGGUUCAAUUCGAGACGAACCGAAGAACCUUACCUAGACUUGACAUCUAAUUUUUAAUGCCGGCUAGAAAUAGUCUGGAAUCUAUCUUUGAUGGAGAGGUUAGACAGGUGCUGCAUGGCUAUCGUCAGCUCGUGCCGUGGGGUGUUCCCUUAAGUGGGGUAACGAGCGCAACCCUUGCUGAAUGUUGAAUUAUUCAUUCAGGACUAUCCCGAUUUUCGGGGAGGAAGUGGGGACGACGUUAAGUCAGCAUGGCCCUUAUGUCUAGGGCAACACACAUGCUACAAUGGAGCCGACAAUGGGUUGCCAACGCGCAAGCGGGAGCUAAUCCCAUCAAACGGCUUCUCAGUGGGGAUUGAGGGCUGCAACUCGCCCUCAUGAACGCGGAAUUGGUAGUAAUCGCGGAUCAGCUAAGCCGCGGUGAAUACGUUCUCAGGUCUUGUACACACCGCCCGUCAAGUCAGCAAAGUUGGAGGCACCCGAAUCCCGAUUGUAUCGGGAGACGGUGAAACUAGCGAUGAGGAUUAAGUCGUAACAAGGUAUCCCUACUGGAAGGUGGGGAUGGAUCACCUCCUUU
rfam:Microgenomates (Woesebacteria) bacterium GW2011_GWB1_43_14 TV74_C0002, whole genome shotgun sequence.